UCCUCUUUACAGAGGCAGUUUGUCUCGAGUCCCCGGCAUUAUCCGCUGGUAACAAAACAUGAGGGUUGCGCUCGUUGCGGGACUUAACCCAACAUUUCACAACACGAGCUGACGACAGCCAUGCACCACCUGUGAAGCACCUUCGAAAGCGACUCGCUUUCACGAGCUUGCAGCUCCAUGUCAAGCCCUGGUAAGGUUCUUCGCGUUGCAUCGAAUUAAGCCACAUGCUCCACCGCUUGUGCGGGCCCCCGCCAAUUCCUUUGAGUUUCAACCUUGCGGCCGUAGUCCCCAGGCGGUUCACUUAAUGCGUUAGCUGCGGCACCGAGGGGAACCCCCGACACCUAGUGAACAUCGUUUACGGCGUGGACUAC
rnacentral:misc_RNA from 1 species